GAUGAACGCUGGCGGCGUGCCUAAUACAUGCAAGUCGAGCGAACAGACGAGGAGCUUGCUCCUCUGACGUUAGCGGCGGACGGGUGAGUAACACGUGGAUAACCUACCUAUAAGACUGGGAUAACUUCGGGAAACCGGAGCUAAUACCGGAUAAUAUAUUGAACCGCAUGGUUCAAUAGUGAAAGACGGUUUUGCUGUCACUUAUAGAUGGAUCCACGCCGCAUUAGCUAGUUGGUAAGGUAACGGCUUACCAAGGCAACGAUGCGUAGCCGACCUGAGAGGGUGAUCGGCCACACUGGAACUGAGACACGGUCCAGACUCCUACGGGAGGCAGCAGUAGGGAAUCUUCCGCAAUGGGCGAAAGCCUGACGGAGCAACGCCGCGUGAGUGAUGAAGGUCUGCGGAUCGUAAAACUCUGUUAUUAGGGAAGAACAAAUGUGUAAGUAACUAUGCACGUCUGGACGGUACCUAAUCAGAAAGCCACGGCUAACUACGG
rnacentral:rRNA from 1 species